AGAAUAUGUAUGCUUUUUCAUUUUAUAACACUUAAAUCAUCAACAAUGAGAUUUUUUCAUUGUGUGGCUAGGUCAAACCCACCGAACCGUCGCGUGCUCCUUCGAUUCGCCGAACGGAGUUGUCCACGAGCCUCAAAAUACCCUAAAAGUAUUGAGCGAAGAGAUACACGGGCAUUACGAUCAACUAUAGGAUCAAACAUUAACCUAGAAGCAAAAGGGCCAAAACUCACCUCAAGAGUAGAAAUCCUCUCCGAAGCUCCAAAGGAGAGCUAGAAUCCUUUCAAUCCAAGCCCAAGGAAGGUUCCAAUCCAAGAAAUCUAGCCCCAAAAGCCCUAGAUCAAAAAGC
rnacentral:lncRNA from 1 species